ensembl:lncRNA
GGCCUGCGGAGGCGGCGGGGGGCCCGCGGUUCCGAGGCUCCUGCUAAAGAUACUUGGCGGCAGCGAGGCCGCAGGCCUGUGGCCGGGCGCCAGGCCCGACCGCGAGUCAUUUCCAUACGCGGGUCAGCCCGCGGCGUGUUUACAGCCGCCUCUCCCCAGAGCUCUACCAGGAAGGCCCGGCCCCCGGGCCCCGGGAGGGAGGCCGGCGCUGGCUGUGGGCGGCGGGCUGCGUGCCUCUGGCCGGGAGAGCGCGGUUCCCAUCAACGCCGAUUACCGGCGGCCGCCCCCGACGGGAGGUCGGGAAGCAGGCCGCCGGCACCGCGGGGCCGUGCGAAAUGAUGUCGGUGAGACCUGUCUGUGGGGCUGUGUGCUUAUAAAUACACGCCGGGCCGCUGGCCGGGCGCCGCGGGCGCCCAAACAGCCCUGCGCGCAGCUGUAUUUGAGAUGGAAACGCGGGCGCAGGGGCCGGGCCGACCCCUCGGGGACCCUGGGCGAGCGCUCGCUUCCUCCCGCCGCACCGCGCUCGCCCUGCGGCUGCGGGCCCAGGCCGUUAGGGAGAGUGUGGAGCCGGGGCUUGGGUUCCCACCGCGGCCUCUUUAUAAAGAGACCCUUCUCUGAUGUGGAGGCCUUUGGAAGCGUCUCCUCCUUGUCCUUCUCCCUCAUCGCUCCAGAGCUACCUGGUUGAGCCUCAGCGUUCACCUUGGGAUCAUUGUGAAGUGACCCUGCUUGGGGACCCUCCCCGAACCCGGCCGUAGGCCCAAGCCGGGAUGCAUUCCUUCAGGCGCCGAGAGGGGCCUGUCUGCAUGUCACCCCUCCGCACCCCGCCUGGCCCCCCCCGGACUGCAACAGAGCCUGCUCCUGGAGACAAGGGCGCGCAGCUGGCUGACGUCACCAGGAAUGCUCGGGGGCCUGCACGGAGCCGAGAUGAGAUGUCACUGGGAGCAACUGGACGGUCCGUCCCGUCAUCUGCUUCGGAAACGAGCCGGUGCUACAGGGACGGAGAAGUCUGCGGAAACAUCUGAGAACGUUGCAUCUGGUUGAUUUGCCUCCCAGCUCUGCCCUCCUCCUUUCCCGCCCUGCUCACUCUUCGCCUCUGGGGCUUCUGUCCCCAGGAGGCAGUCUACAAGAGCGUUUGGGAGCAGAGCACUUGGAAUCCGCCUUGGCUCCCUCCUGGCUCUACUCCUUGCCAGCUGUGUGACGUUGGGCAUGGCAUGCAAAUGGGGCGAACAGUGGGCCCUGCCUCCUGGGGCUUGGGCAAUGAAUGAAUUGGUACUGAUGGAGCCCCAGCACUGUUCCCAGCACAUAGUAGGCACAUGAUAGCUGAGGAUCAUUUGAAUUAAGCUGCAACCUCAGAAUCAAAGGUCGAGGCCUAGGAAUGAGACAUUCCAUUUAACUGAUUAGACGCCUAAGCCUUGACUGUAUCUUAACUAUGCUCUGGGG